UACGUAGGAUGCAAGCGUUGUCCGGAAUUACUGGGCGUAAAGGGCGAGCAGGUGGCACUACAAGUCUGAUGUAAAAUCUCCCGGCUUAACUGGGAGGGGCCAUUGGAAACUGUAGAGCUGGAGUGCAGGAGAGGCUAACGGAAUUCCCGGUGUAGUGGUGAAAUGCGUAGAUAUCGGGAGGAACACCAGUGGCGAAGGCGGUUAGCUGGGACGGUACUGACGCUGGAGACGCGAAAGCGUGGGGAGCGAACAGG
rnacentral:rRNA from 1 species